GGGUGAUUAGCUCAGUGGUAGAGCGCUUCGUUCACAUCGAAGAUGUCAGAAGUUCGAAUCUUCUAUCACCCA
rfam:Roseivivax jejudonensis strain CECT 8625 genome assembly, contig: 0003